GACGAACCGAGCGAACGUUAUUCGGAAUCACUGGGCUUAAAGGGCGCGUAGGCGGGCGGCCAAGUCAGGGGGUGAAAGCCCCCAGCUCAACUGGGGAAGUGCCUCUGAUACUGGUCGCCUCGAGGGAGAUAGGGGCGUGCGGAACUUCCGGUGGAGCGGUGAAAUGCGUAGAUAUCGGAAGGAACACCGGUGGCGAAGGCGAAUCUCUGGACAGUUACUGACACUGAGGCAGCGAAGGCCAGGGAGCAAAGCGGG
rnacentral:rRNA from 1 species